rnacentral:tRNA from 1 species
AUAGAUAUAUUCAAAUGAUAAAAUUUCUUUCUACCAAAGAAAAGAUGCGGGUUCGAUUCCCGCUAUCUGCC